rnacentral:lncRNA from 1 species
ACGUGGCAACCUCUGAGGUCCCGAAAAAAUGCGAGAAAAUACUCAAGCACGAUAUCCCGUCGUGAGGUAGCGUAAUUGAGAACCACUCGAAGGUGGAGAUUUGUGGCUAAUAUUGCUCUAACUCGUCAGCUAGAGGUAGACAUAAGCAUUUUGGAGAACUCGAGUUUGGCAAAAUAGACUGCGAUCGUCUGAUAACCCACGUAGCAACAGCCAACCUGAACGAACGCCUCUUCACCCUU